rnacentral:lncRNA from 1 species
AGGAAUGGAUAACACCAGAGAUCCCUUCAGUCUCCACAGAUUUAGGAAUGGAUAACACCAGAGAUCCCUUCAGUCUCCACAGAUUUAGGAAUGGAUAACACCAGAGAUCAAUUCAGUCUCCACAGAUUUAGGAAAAUCAGCGUUUUAGUUUUUUUGCCCCUAAUUUGUGUACCAAUUCGCAGAGUUCACUGCAGUUAGAUGUACUGGUGCCACUCAGGCAGUUAGAUGUACUGGUGCCACUCAGACAGUUAGAUGUACUGGUGCCACUCAGGCAGUCAGAUGUACUGGUGCCACUCAGGCAGUUAGAUGUGCUGGUGCCACUCAGAUGUGCUGGUGCCACUCAGAUGUACUGGUGCCACUCAGGCAGUUAGAUGGGCUGGUGCCACUCAGACAGUCAGAUGAGCUGGUGCCACUCAGGCAGUUAGAUGUACUGGUGCCACUCAGAUGUACUGGUGCCACUCAGGCAGUUAGAUGUACUGGUGCCACUCAGGCAGUUAGAUGUACUGGUGCCACUCAGACAGUUAGAUGUACUGGUGCCACUCAGGCAGUCAGAUGUACUGGUGCCACUCAGGCAGUUAGAUGUGCUGGUGCCACUCAGAUGUGCUGGUGCCACUCAGAUGUACUGGUGCCACUCAGGCAGUUAGAUGGGCUGGUGCCACUCAGACAGUCAGAUGAGCUGGUGCCACUCAGGCAGUUAGAUGUACUGGUGCCACUCAGAUGUACUGGUGCCACUCAGGCAGUUAGAUGUACUGGUGCCACUCAGACAGUCAGAUGUACUGGUGCCACUCAGGCAGUUAGAUGUGCUGGUGCCACUCAGAUGUGCUGGUGCCACUCAGGCAGUUAGAUGGGCUGGUGCCACUCAGGCAGUUAGAUGUACUGGUGCCACUCAGACAGUCAGAUGUAC